rnacentral:rRNA from 1 species
CCCAGACUCCUACGGGAGGCAGCAGUGGGGAAUAUUGCACAAUGGGGGAAACCCUGAUGCAGCGACGCCGCGUGGGUGAAGGAGUGCUUCGGCAUGUAAAGCCCUAUCGGCAGGGAAGAAGCAAGACGGUACCUGACUAAGAAGCCCCGGCUAACUACGUGCCAGCAGCCGCGGUAAUACGUAGGGGGCAAGCGUUAUCCGGAUUUACUGGGUGUAAAGGGGGCGCAGACGGCGAUGCAAGCCAGGAGUGAAAGCCCGGGGCCCAACCCCGGGACUGCUCUUGGAACUGCGUGGCUGGAGUGCAGGAGGGGCAGGCGGAAUUCCUGGUGUAGCGGUGAAAUGCGUAGAUAUCAGGAGGAACACCGGUGGCGAAGGCGGCCCGCUGGACUGCAACUGACGUUGAGGCCCGAAAGCGUGGGGAGCAAACAGGAUUAGAUACCCGAGUA